GCGCUAGGUGGGGAGAUAGCGGUGCCCUGAACCUGCAAUCCGCUACAGCAGGACUGAAUGCCCUUCCCGACCGCCAAGGUGGAAGGCCGCGCCGUAUAAGGGGUGUUGAUUACAAGGUCUUAUGCAACCGUCAACUGCGAACCGUGUCAGGAUAGGGAUAUAGCAGCACUAAACAGUCCCGACGGUGUGCCAUAAGGUUGCUUUGUAGGAGCUACCUGUACGGUU
rnacentral:SRP_RNA from 1 species